rnacentral:lncRNA from 13 species
CUAUAAUCAUCAUCAUCAUCAUCAUCUAUCUAUAUCUAUCAUUUAUCAUCUCAUCUAUCAUCUAUCUAUUUUUUAAAAAGGAGGGACGGCCAGGUCUGUGAUGCUGUGAUAUUCCAUUUGGCCAGCAGGGGUCCCCGCGGCAUCUGCCGCGGCAGCCUUGUGAGCAGCAGGAAGAAAGCUGGGAAGUUCAGACCCUGCCUGUAAGGAGGGUGCGGUGGACGGAUUAAGAACAACGCUGUGAAGGAAAAGCCUGGGUCUCGGUUUGCGGCGUGGGGAGCACCCGGCUUUGCAGAGCUGUGGCGCAGAGGUGGAGCGGAGCUUUUGUCAAUGUGUGUGUUUGAGAACACUGCUGCAGCUAGAACCAGAAAGGACCUGGUGAAUCAGCAAGGGGCUUCUUAUUCUGAGGAUGUGAACCUUCCUGGGGGAGUCCUGCUUCUGUCAGGCAUGACAUUCCAAAUACUUACAGAUGACAUCCCAGAAACCAGCGGCAAAGACCAGACCUCUGGUAGGGUAAGGUUAAAUUAUUUACUACACAACAUCCACAUUGAGAUGUCAAGUAGACUGUUGGGUGUAUUGAGUCUGGAGUUCCAUGGAAAUGUCUGAGCUAGAACUAAAAUGGUUGGGAGCCUUAGACAUAAGGAUAUUAUUGAAAUCCAGGGGUAGGUAAAGGAGGCUUGAAGACAAAGCCUGGACAUUGUACCAUUUAGAGGAAGUAUAGACAGCCUGAGUCAGCAAAGCACACGGAGUGGUAGCAGCCAGUGAGUUAGGAGGAAACUAGACCCCUUCAUGUCUUUGAUAUAUAUAGAGGUAAAUCAUUAUGAUACAAUACGAGAAUGGUUAAAGGUGUCAGAAUCGUAAGUACCAGAGAGUUUGAAAGGAAGAAAUAUUACUAGUGUUUAAUGGAGCACUUAAUGUGCAUUAAGACCUAUGCUUGCAUUGUGCACAAAACAUCCGCAGCUAUCUACUGCUUUAAAUUCUGCAUUUUAUAAAAAUUACUAGCAUUUAGUGAGUACUUGAUAUGAGUUAGGAUUGGUGUUCACGUUAUGCACAAGAAUUUACGAGGUAACUUUUCUACUAAAUUCUCCAUAUUACAGAAGAGGCAUUAAGUCUUAAGAGGGUGAAGUAACUGGGCCGAGGCCAAGUGAGAUUGCUGCAUGUCCAUCUGACUCCACAGCCCUUUGGGUAAGGACUAGGCAACACUGCCUCUCUGGGGCUGGGGACUGAGGAAGAAAUGAGAGGCCCUCAGAGGAGACAAAAGGCACUUUCUGUAGGGCUACCUUUUGGAAGCAGAUGUAGAAUUGCCCUGUGCAGCAGCAGAAGGCAGCCCCAGGGCCAUGCUGGAGCUACUGAGAUGAUUUCAUUUGGCACAUGGAAGGCUUUCUGAUACCUAUGGCUCUGUGAGCCACAUGAAGGUAGUGGGAUUCCUCAUCAGCAGAAGUGUUCAGGGAGGCGUAGACAGCAUGUUCUUUCCAAUUCACCCCGCCGCUCCUUGUGUGUGACAGGCUGCUGCUGGGGGCCAAGCUCUUUUUCUGAGCUUCCUCUUUUUUUCUAUGCUUUCUGGGCCAUUAAGUGUAAUUCAAAUACCACAAUCCACUGACUUUUU